UACGGAGGGUGCGAACGUUAAUCGGAAUCACUGGGCGUAAAGCGCGCGUAGGCGGUUUGUUAAGUGGGAUGUGAAAUCCCCGGGCUUAACCUGGGAAUUGCACUUCAAACUGGCCGACUAGAGUACGGUAGAGGGAGGUAGAAUUUCCUGUGUAGCGGUGAAAUGCGUAGAUAUAGGAAGGAAUACCAGUGGCGAAGGCGGCCUCCUGGAUCGAUACUGACGCUGAGGCGCGAAAGCGUGGGUAGCAAACGGG
rnacentral:rRNA from 1 species